rnacentral:rRNA from 1 species
GCCUUUAGGUGGGGGAUAGCUAGGGGAAACUCCGGGUAAUACCGCAUGAUCUCGCAAGAGCAAAGGGGCGCAAGUCUCGCCUUUAGAGGAGCCUAUGUCUGAUUAGCUAGUUGGCGGUGUAAUAGACCACCAAGGCGAUGAUCAGUAACUGGUCUGAGAGGACGAUCAGUCACACCGGAACUGAGACACGGUCCGGACUCCUACGGGAGGCAGCAGUGGGGAAUAUUGUUACGAUGGGCGAAAGCCUGAUCCAGCAAUUCCGCGUGUGUGAAGAAGGCCUUCGGGUUGUAAAGCACUUUAUUGGGGGAAGAAACAGCUUGGCCACACCAAGCCUUGACGGUACCCCAAGAAUAAGCACCGGCUAACUCUGUGCCAGCAGCCGCGGUAAUACAGAGGGUGCAAGCGUUAAUCGGAUUUACUGGGCGUAAAGGGUGCGUAGGUGGCUAUUUAAGUCGGAUGUGAAAGCCCGGGGCUCAACCUCGGAAUUGCAUUCGAUACUGAGUGGCUAGAGUUCGGUAGAGGGCGGCGGAAUUUCCGGUGUAGCGGUGAAAUGCGUA